GUCCCCGUCGUCUAGAGGCCUAGGACAUCGCCCUUUCACGGCGGUAACACGGGUUCGACUCCCGUCGGGGACGCCA
rnacentral:tRNA from 1 species